AUUGAACGCUGGCGGAAUGCUUUACACAUGCAAGUCGAACGGCAGCACGGGGGCAGCCCUGGUGGCGAGUGGCGAACGGGUGAGUAAUACAUCGGAACGUGCCCGGUCGUGGGGGAUGACGUAGCGAAAGUUACGCUAAUACCGCAUACGAUCUGAGGAUGAAAGCGGGGGACCUUCGGGCAUCGCGCGAUCGGAGCGGCCGAUGUCAGAUUAGGUAGUUGGUGGGGUAAAGGCCUACCAAGCCGACGAUCUGUAGCUGGUCUGAGAGGACGACCAGCCACACUGGGACUGAGACACGGCCCAGACUCCUACGGGAGGCAGCAGUGGGGAAUUUUGGACAAUGGGCGCAAGCCUGAUCCAGCCAUUCCGCGUGCAGGACGAAGGCCUUCGGGUUGUAAACUGCUUUUGUACGGAACGAAAAGGCUCUGGCUAAUACCUGGGGCUCAUGACGGUACCGUAAGAAUAAGCACCGGCUAACUACGUG
rnacentral:rRNA from 1 species